rnacentral:rRNA from 1 species
GACGAACGCUGGCGGCGUGCUUAUCACAUGCAAGUCGAACGGAAAGGCCCUGCUUUUGUGGGGUGCUCGAGUGGCGAACGGGUGAGUAACACGUGAGUAACCUGCCCUUGACUUUGGGAUAACUUCAGGAAACUGGGGCUAAUACCGGAUAGGAGCUCCUGCUGCAUGGUGGGGGUUGGAAAGUUUCGGCGGUUGGGGAUGGACUCGCGGCUUAUCAGCUUGUUGGUGGGUAGUGGCUUACCAAGGCUUUGACGGGUAGCCGGCCUGAGAGGGUGACCGGCCACAUUGGGACUGAGAUACGGCCCAGACUCCUACGGGAGGCAGCAGUGGGGAAUAUUGCACAAUGGGCGGAAGCCUGAUGCAGCAACGCCGCGUGCGGGAUGACGGCCUUCGGGUUGUAAACCGCUUUCGCCUGUGACGAAGCGUGAGUGACGGUAAUGGGUAAAGAAGCACCGGCUAACUACGUG